GAUGAACGCUGGCGGCGUGCCUAAUACAUGCAAGUCGAGCGGGGAUUAUGCUUGAUCGCUUCGGUGAGACGGCAUAUAUCCUAGCGGCGGACGGGUGAGUAACGCGUGGGUAAUCUACCUCGUAGUUCGGGAUAACAGGCCGAAAGGCUUGCUAAUACCGGAUGAGUUCAUGCUUAUGCAUAUAGGCAUGAAGAAAGGGGAAACCCGCUUUCAGAUGGGCCCGCGUCCCAUCAGCUAGUUGGUAAGGUAAAGGCUUACCAAGGCGACGACGGGUAGCCGGUCUGAGAGGAUGUACGGCCACACUGGGACUGAGAUACGGCCCAGACUCCUACGGGAGGCAGCAGUUGGGAAUCUUAGGCAAUGGACGAAAGUCUGACCUAGCGACGCCGCGUGAGGGAAGAAGGCCUUCGGGUGUAAACCUCUGUCAUGGGGGAAGAAGGAAGUGACGGUACCCCAAGAGGAAGCCCCUGCUAACUACGUGCCAGCAAGCCGCGGUAAGGAGUAGUACA
rnacentral:rRNA from 1 species